rnacentral:rRNA from 1 species
UAUUGGACAAUGGGCGCAAGCCUGAUCCAGCAAUGCCGCGUGGGUGAAGAAGGCCUUCGGGUUGUAAAGCCCUUUUGUACGGGAAGAAAUCAUCCGGGUUAAUACCCUGGGUGGAUGACGGUACCGUAAGAAUAAGCACCGGCUAACUUCGUGCCAGCAGCCGCGGUAAUACGAAGGGUGCAAGCGUUAAUCGGAAUUACUGGGCGUAAAGCGUGCGUAGGUGGUUGUUCAAGUCUGUCGUGAAAGCCCUGGGCUCAACCUGGGAAUGGCGAUGGAAACUGGGCGACUGGAGUGCGGUAGAGGAUGGCGGAAUUCCCGGUGUAGCGGUGAAAUGCGUAGAGAUCGGGAGGAACAUCCGUGGCGAAGGCGGCCAUCUGGACCAGCACUGACACUGAGGCACGAAAGCGUGGGGAGCAAACAGGA